AGUGAACGCUGGCGGUAGGCCUAACACAUGCAAGUCGAACGGCAGCACAGUAAGAGCUUGCUCUUACGGGUGGCGAGUGGCGGACGGGUGAGGAAUACAUCGGAAUCUACUUUUUCGUGGGGGAUAACGUAGGGAAACUUACGCUAAUACCGCAUACGACCUACGGGUUAAAGCAGGGGAUCUUCGGACCUUGCUCGAUUGAAUGAGCCGAUGUCGGAUUAUCUAGUUGGCGGGGUAAAGGCCCACCACGGCGACGAUCCGUAGCUGGUCUGAGAGGAUGAUCAGCCACUCUGGAACUGAGACACGGUCCAGACUCCUACGGGAGGCAGAAGUGGGGAAUAUUGGACAAUGGGCGCAAGCCUGAUCCAGCCAUACCGCGUGGGUGAAGAAGGCCUGCGGGUUGUAAAGCCCUUUUGUUGGGAAAGAAAAGCAGCAGGUUAAUACCCCGCUGUUCUGACGGUACCCAAAGAAAAGGCACCGGCAACUUUCGG
rnacentral:rRNA from 1 species